rnacentral:rRNA from 1 species
AUGCAGACCCCAAUAGAACAAAUUGGAGAGCCCAAACUGUAUCAGAUUGAUGAUGAAGGAGUGUUGUUCAAUGCUGAAAAUGUGCAUGUAGAAGCUGAGAGUUGUGAUGCAGGAGGAGAACAAGAGCCAAUGCCCUUGCAUUUUGACACACAGCAGAGCAGAAUAAAUGUGAGCCUGGAACCUGCUUUAGGUGAUGCAGUAGUGGAAGAAUACCAUGUGACUGAUAAUUUAGAGGAGCAACUGUUAAUAGAGCAAGAAAUGGAGGAGAAAAGGAGAAAUGAAAUUGAAAUGUUUAGGAAGAACAAGAAGGAAAGAGUGAAGGAGACUUGUUUGAACAAGAAGGAAAGAGUGAAGGAAACUUGUUUGAACCGGAAAGCAGCAGUGAUGGACAAUGAAGAGGAUAGUGAUGAUGAUGAUCUGGUAGAAUAUGGUGAUAUCUUAGCUAGGCUUGAGGAGAUGAGAAGACAGAGGAAUGACCCAGAACUUCAUUUUGAAGGGGACACAGAUGUUGAGGAAAUGUGUGACUCAAAGGUGGAUGAUGAGCUGUAUGUGCCACAAGGUGAAGAAGAGGAUGUAGAGGAGGAAGAGGAGGAGGAAUUGGAGGAAGAGGAACAAGAGGAUGAGCUAGGGCAAGAUGUACCAAACAAGAGAAGGGCCAAGAGACAAAGAAAAGGCCCAACAAGAAACUCACAUGGGAGUAUAGAACACAUGUUUGAGGAGGACUGGAUUCCAUCAUUUGAUGAGGACAAGAAACCACAAGACCUUGGUGUGGAAGAUGAUGAUGGUGCCGAGGCAUUGGCAUAUGUGUUGCCUAAUGGUAGAAAAAGCAGAGCAAAGAAGAUGAAGAAGAGGUUAUGGUUUGAUGAGCAUAGAGCUCAUCCAGAGGAGCAAUUUGUGAAGCAUCUUUGCUUCUUAAAUGUGUACCAGUUUAGAACUAUACUUCAAACCCUGCACAUUGCUCAAAACAUGAACUUUGUCUACCAUAGAAACUGCAAUGAUAGGGUGAUAGCACAGUGCAUAGAUGAGCAAUGUCCCUUCUAUAUAGCAGCUUCUCAGAUUGCAAAUGAGAAGUCAUUUACAAUUAGGAAGGUGUAUUUAGUGCACACAUGCCCUUCUAUGUCAGAGAACACUAAAGUCACUGCUAAGUGGGUUUCAAAAUUCUAUGAGGAGGCUAUCAGAAAUGACCCAUGCACAACAAUCACAAGUAUUAUUAAUAUUGCAAAGAGCAAGUAUGGUGUGGACAUAUCAACACACAUGGCAUACAGGGCAAAGAGGGCAGCAAAGGCUGUUGUGUUAGGAGACCAGACAACCCAGUACACCAGGAUUAGGGAUUAUUUACAGGCUAUGUUGGAUACAAAUCCAGGUUCAAGAUGCAUCGUGACAACAAGAUAUCUGAAGGAGCAUCCAAGCACUAACCCUAGGUUUCAUGCACUGUUCAUAUGCUUGAAUGCAUGCAAAGAAGGGUUUCUCAAUGGCUGCAGACCAUUCAUAGGUCUGGAUGGUUGUUUCAUCAAGCUCACUACUGGUCAACAGAUUCUAGCUGCAACUGGAAGAGAUGGGAACAAUAAUAUUUUCCCAUUGUUUUUGGAAUUGUUGAUAAGGAGGACACUACCUCCUGGACCUGGUUUUUAUACCAGUUGA